GGCUCCUUGUUAAUAGAUAAAUAAGGAGUCGGACCUGCCCAGUGAAAUUAUUUCAACGGCCGCGGUACUCUGACCGUGCAAAGGUAGCAUAAUCAUUUGCCUUAUAAUUGAAGGCUGGUAUGAAUGGUUUGACAAGAAUAUAGCUGUCUCUUUAUAAUUUAAUAGAACUUUAUUUUGGGGUGAAGAAGCCCCAAUUAAAUUAAAAGACAAGAAGACCCUAUCGAGCUUUAAAAAAAUUAAUGGAAUAUGCAAUAUUAAUACAAAGAUAAAAAAUUAGCUAUUAAAAAUUUUGGUUGGGGCGACUAAGGAACAAAAAUAGCUUCCUUUAUAAAUGUUAUAACAUACAGGUAUUGAUCCAAAAUUUUUGAUUAAAGGAAUUAGUUACCGUAGGGAUAACAGCAUUAUCCUCUUUGAGAGUUCUUAUCGAAAAGAGGGUUUGUGACCUCGAUGUUGGACCAGAAUAUCCUAAAGAUGCAGAAGUCUUUAAGGGUUGGUCUGUUCGACCAUUAAAAUUCU
rnacentral:rRNA from 1 species